GGGGAAUAUUGGACAAUGGGGGCAACCCUGAUCCAGCAAUGCCGCGUGAGUGAUGAAGGCCUUCGGGUUGUAAAGCUCUUUCACCCACGACGAUGAUGACGGUAGUGGGAGAAGAAGCCCCGGCUAACUUCGUGCCAGCAGCCGCGGUAAUACGAAGGGGGCUAGCGUUGUUCGGAGUUACUGGGCGUAAAGGGCGCGUAGGCGGCCUGGUCAGUCUGGUGUGAAAGCCCGGGGCUCAACCCCGGAAUUGCACUGGAGACGGCCAAGCUUGAGUGUGGGAGAGGAUGGUGGAAUUCCCAGUGUAGAGGUGAAAUUCGUAGAUAUUGGGAAGAACACCGGUGGCGAAGGCGGCCAUCUGGACCAUUACUGACGCUGAGGCGCGAAAGCGUGGGGAGCAAACAGGA
rnacentral:rRNA from 1 species